AGGUAUAGGGGUUUCUAAUAGGGGCAGGUCGGUGUUGGUAGGCUGCAACGACAUAUUGACGGUAUUUGUUAUUCAGUGGCUGACGUCAAAGGAAACAAGAAAUAACUGCCUUAACACAUUGACUACUAAGCGGACUAGCCGAAAAUCUUAACCGGAGGCAAAGCAUGAUUUUUGUGGCGCAAAAUUAAUCAAAACAUUUAUAAUUUUUUCAAAGGACUACGUGCAAACGGACAAGCAAUGG